rnacentral:rRNA from 1 species
AAUAGAUACCCGGGUAGUCCACGCCGUAAACGGUGGGCGCUAGGUGUGGGGGACUUUCCACGUCCUCUGUGCCGCAGCUAACGCAUUAAGCGCCCCGCCUGGGGAGUACGGCCGCAAGGCUAAAACUCAAAGGAAUUGACGGGGGCCCGCACAAGCGGCGGAGCAUGUGGCUUAAUUCGACGCAACGCGAAGAACCUUACCAAGGCUUGACAUGCAGAGAAAUCUCGUAGAGAUACGGGGUCCGCAAGGGCUUUGCACAGGUGGUGCAUGGUUGUCGUCAGCUCGUGUCGUGAGAUGUUGGGUUAAGUCCCGCAACGAGCGCAACCCUUGUCCUAUGUUGCCAGCGAGUAAUGUCGGGGACUCAUAGGAGACUGCCGGGGUCAACUCGGAGGAAGGUGGGGAUGACGUCAAAUCAUCAUGCCCCUUAUGUCUUGGGCUGCACACAUGCUACAAUGGUCGGUACAAAGGGCUGCGAGACCGCAAGGUGGAGCGAAUCCCAAAAAGCCGACCUCAGUUCGGAUUAGGGU